GACUACUUAGAUAAGUUCCAAUUUGGAGCUUUUGAUUUGCUACAGAGUGGUGCUAUUUAAAUGACUUGAUAUUGUUUGCUUGAAGAGGCCAGCAUCUUGCCUUGUGGCCAGAGGUCAAAUUGAUUUAAGUCACAUUUGAAAUGACGGAAGGUCGAGUGGGGCUGUGUCAUAUUCGAAGUGGCGUGAGGUUAGUUGGACGAGUCACAAUCGGAACCCGUGGAUACUGUAUGUGUACGCUUUAGAUAAAUUGGUUGUGUCUUUUUAAGCUUUUGGGAUUAAUGGUUAACG
rnacentral:lncRNA from 1 species